GCCGAAGUGGUGGAAUGGUAGACGCGCUGGACUCAAAAUCCAGUGAGGGCAACUUCGUGUGGGUUCGAGUCCCACCUUCGGUACCA
rnacentral:tRNA from 1 species